rnacentral:rRNA from 1 species
AGAGUUUGAUCCUGGCUCAGAUUGAACGCUGGCGGCAGGCCUAACACAUGCAAGUCGAACGGUAACAGAAAGCAGCUUGCUGCUUUGCUGACGAGUGGCGGACGGGUGAGUAAUGUCUGGGAAACUGCCUGAUGGAGGGGGAUAACUACUGGAAACGGUAGCUAAUACCGCAUAACGUCGCAAGACCAAAGAGGGGGACCUUCGGGCCUCUUGCCAUCGGAUGUGCCCAGAUGGGAUUAGCUAGUAGGUGGGGUAACGGCUCACCUAGGCGACGAUCCCUAGCUGGUCUGAGAGGAUGACCAGCCACACUGGAACUGAGACACGGUCCAAACUCCUACGGGAGGCAGCAGUGGGGAAUAUUGCACAAUGGGCGCAAGCCUGAUGCAGCCAUGCCGCGUGUAUGAAGAAGGCCUUCGGGUUGUAAAGUACUUUCAGCGGGGAGGAAGGGAGUAAAGUUAAUAACCUUGGCGAUUGACGUUACCCGCAGAAGAAGCACCGGCUAACUCCGUGCCAGCAGCCGCGGUAAUACGGAGGGUGCAAGCGUUAAUCGGAAUUACUGGGCGUAAAGCGCGCGCAGGCGGAUAGGUCAGUCUGUCUUAAAAGUUCGGGGCCUCAACCUGGGAACUGCAUCUGAUACUGGCAGGCUUGAGUCUCGUAGAGGGGGGUAGAAUUCCAGGUGUAGCGGUGAAAUGCGUAGAGAUCUGGAGGAAUACCGGUGGCGAAGGCGGCCCCCUGGACAAAGACUGACGCUCAGGUGCGAAAGCGUGGGGAGCAAACAGGAUUAGAUACCCUAGUAGUCCACGCCGUAAACGAUGAGUACUAAGUGUUGGAAGUCAAAUUUUUCAGUGCUGCAGUUAACGCAGUAAGUACUCCGCCUGAGUAGUACGUUCGCAAGAAUGAAACUCAAAGGAAUUGACGGGGGCCCGCACAAGCGGUGGAGCAUGUGGUUUAAUUCGAAGCAACGCGAAGAACCUUACCUAGACUUGACAUCUCCUGCAUUACCCUUAAUCGGGGAAGUUCCUUCGGGGACAGGAAGACAGGUGGUGCAUGGUUGUCGUCAGCUCGUGUUGUGAGAUGUUGGGUUAAGUCCCGCAACGAGCGCAACCCUUAUUGUUAGUUGCUACCAUUUAGUUGAGCACUCUAGCGAGACUGCCCGGGUUAACCGGGAGGAAGGUGGGGAUGACGUCAAAUCAUCAUGCCCCUUAUGUCUAGGGCUACACACGUGCUACAAUGGCAAGUACAAAGAGAAGCAAGACCGCGAGGUGGAGCAAAACUCAAAAACUUGUCUCAGUUCGGAUUGUAGGCUGAAACUCGCCUACAUGAAGCUGGAGUUGCUAGUAAUCGCGAAUCAGCAUGUCGCGGUGAAUACGUUCCCGGGCCUUGCACACACCGCCCGUCA